rnacentral:rRNA from 1 species
CUUGCUCCUCUUGAGAGCGGCGGACGGGUGAGUAAUGCCUAGGAAUCUGCCUGGUAGUGGGGGAUAACGUUCGGAAACGGACGCUAAUACCGCAUACGUCCUACGGGAGAAAGCAGGGGACCUUCGGGCCUUGCGCUAUCAGAUGAGCCUAGGUCGGAUUAGCUAGUUGGUGAGGUAAUGGCUCACCAAGGCGACGAUCCGUAACUGGUCUGAGAGGAUGAUCAGUCACACUGGAACUGAGACACGGUCCAGACUCCUACGGGAGGCAGCAGUGGGGAAUAUUGGACAAUGGGCGAAAGCCUGAUCCAGCCAUGCCGCGUGUGUGAAGAAGGUCUUCGGAUUGUAAAGCACUUUAAGUUGGGAGGAAGGGCAGUAAAUUAAUACUUUGCUGUUUUGACGUUACCGACAGAAUAAGCACCGGCUAACUCUGUGCCAGCAGCCGCGGUAAUACAGAGGGUGCAAGCGUUAAUCGGAAUUACUGGGCGUAAAGCGCGCGUAGGUGGUUUGUUAAGUUGGAUGUGAAAUCCCCGGGCUCAACCUGGGAACUGCAUUCAAAACUGACUGACUAGAGUAUGGUAGAGGGUGGUGGAAUUUCCUGUGUAGCGGUGAAAUGCGUA